CCAGUAGGAUUUUAUACAACAUCAACUCUGGCCGUCUCCGCAGUGCAGCGCCAGAAAACGUUCCUAUCGACGCUUCCCGAAUAUUGGAUCGCGAUUAAUUUCUAGCACAGUAUGGGCACACCACCCGGUGAGCCCGAACUACACGACCAAAUCCGAGUUUAAAACGGUCCUCAGAAGAUAAUUCAGUUUUUCCGAUUAAUGUGUGAUACCGACCGCUUACUUGUGAACGUUCUGUGAAGUGCAGUGAAUGUGUGUCAAAGGUCUUUUGGAGUUCAGUGCAGUGGGCGAAGUAGAAUAUAACAGCAAACAUGUCGGAGUUCUUCGGACCCUGGACCGACAAGGAGGAGGGCGAGGAGGAGAUAGUGGAGGAGACGGUGGAGACCAUCACCACGACCACCACCAGGAGGCAGAUUCCUUCCAAAUCGUCAUCGACGAAAACCACGACGAUGACGACGCCUGCGACCCUCUACGGACGAGACCUGUCCGCCUACGACGAGGUGGACGUCGACGAGCUGCUAGCCAAGCUGUCGCAGGAAGAACUCACCAUGCUGGCCAAGGAGGUUGAUCCAGAUGACAACUUCCUGCCACCAUCACAACGUAACAACUAUGACUGCGAGAAGGACCCCACGGGGCCCCUGAACCGCAAGAAGCUGAUAGAACACAUUAACAAACAAGCACUGGAGACACCAGACCGGCCGGAGAUCAAGCCUUAUGUUGCUGGUGUUGUACGAGGAAAGAAGUGGAUCCCGCCCCCAGCGCCCGAGAAGGUGCGCGACGCGGAUGAACAGAUCUCCAUCGACCUCGGAGACGAGUACGAGCAGGCCCUCACUGAUGCCUCGCAAGAGGAGAUCAUUGACCUCGCUGCUAUCCUCGGCUUCCACUCGAUGAUGAACCAGGAUCAGUACCACGCGUCUCUGCUGAACAAGGGACAACCUGUUGGUCUCGGCUGGGACGGCAUCACUAAAGCCACCAAACCCAAGGUGUACCCCAUGGACCCUCCCAACGACACGGACCCCGACGAGACCAUCAAGCGGGUGCAACAGAAUGACCAGAAGCUCACUGAUCUCAAUUGGAAUAAUAUUAAGAACAUAAGCGAGGAGAAGUUCGAGAAGUUGUUCGAGGGUUUGAAGAGCAACACGUCGCUGGAGGUGUUGUCGCUGGUGAACGUGGGGCUGAACGACCGCGGCGCCGCGCUGCUGGCCGACGCGCUGCGCGUCAACUCCGCGCUGCGCGUCGUCAACGUCGAGACCAACUUCAUCUCGCCGCCCGCGCUGCUCGAACUCGUGCGGGCCCUGCUCGAUACACACGCCGUCGAGGAGUUCCGCGCCUCCAACCAGCGGUCGCAAGUGUUGGGUAACAAGAUAGAGAUGGAGAUAACGUCUCUGGUGGAGCAGAACCCCACGCUGCUGCGACUGGGCCUGCACCUCGAGUACAGCGACGCACGACACAGGAUCGCCAGCCAUCUGCAGAGGAACAUCGACAGAAAUUGUCGAGUGCUAAAGAAAGCGAGCGCGUCCCUGAGCGCCCGGCGGCCGCGCGGCCCGCCGCCCGCCGUCGGCAUCGACUCCAGCUUCUUCAACAUGACGCCGCCCAGCGCCGAGGCACUCACUCCCACCACCGAGGAACCCAAGCCCGUCAUCUCCGAGACUGUCGAGACCUCCCUCACUGUGAAGACUAAGGCGCAGCCCGACGACAGACCCACCUCCAUCACUAUAGGCGAUGGAAAAUUGGAACCAGAAACGCCUGUCACGAAUACACAACCAGUUGAACCGGUUACGACUGAAACUGUAGCACCUACCGAUAAUGUGCAACCGGUGCCUAGUGAAGACCGCCUGGCAGGCGAGCCAGUACCAGUGGCCCCUGAAGGCAAGGUGGAAGAGAGCUCAGACGCGCUCAGUCUCAGUCCGGGCGAGGAGGAGCGCUUCGUGAAGGCGACCCCGCCUGACGUUAACCCCAACCCGCACUCCAGUGAGGGGAACGUAGAACAGACCGAUAAUAUAUAGAAAUGGCCGCAUAAAAUUGUACGCCAGCAGCGACGGAGCCAGAACAGCGCUUAGAGCCUUGAACUGUCGCACGCGGCGGUCGCAUCAGACGACUGACCCAGUUCACCCGCAGCCGCAGCUACGUGGUGGGCUGGAUCCCGUGACGCGCCGCCGUCCGCCGCGCUACCUGGCUCGUGUCGCACUCCCGCGCAUCGCACGCCCCACCACACGGACUUUGUGAUUGAGUAUUUUGAACCUUACUCCACAUACAUACGUUACAAUAAACCCCUUCGUACAUAAAUCUUCAAUACUGCAUGAUUUUAAUCUUGAAACGAUUACCGCUGUACAAAUUCAUGCAUAUAUGUCAUGUGUAUGUUUGGCGGUGUACGCUUGAAAACUGAAAUUAUUCAGUAUUUGCGUAGGUUUGUAUACGAAAGGGAAGUCAUGGAGUUACAGUGUAGCUUAUGCUUAGAUUGAUACAAAAUUUCACGACUAGAAACUGUCUAUAAAAUUCAUAGUUUAAAAUAAGUCGAGGUGCUUAGAUGUUGCAAGUAAUCAUUGUUAUUUAUUUACUUGUAACUUAGAUUUUCAGAACUUUAAAGUUACAAGUAAGGUAAUAUUGAUAUUAAAUUACUUGUCACUCAAAAUACGCAAUCACAAUUAACAUGUACGGCCAGAUUAAUUUGGUACAUCUGAAGACGAAUGUUGUGUGCUAACAAGAAUUGAUAUUUUAUUGUUUUAUUCUUUCUAUAUAUAAUAUACAAGGUAAAUGGAAUACACAAACAUCACUAGCGCGAUGGCCGGCCCAUCUCUAGUAGCGACUACAUAUUUAUGAUAAAAUCACAAUUCUUGUGCUGAAGUGUGAACGAUGGACGUUUUAUUAUUAAUUCUUACUAUAGUGUGCUAAUGAAUUCGUAUUAAUUUUAUUAUGAUAUUAAAUUGUAAUAUAUUUUAUAGAUGUGCACAUUCCAUUAAUGCGAAACAUGCUUCUCUUAUUGACGCUUUUUUAGUGUUUAACAAAGUUAUAUAAAAUUUUAAUAAGUAAUACAACAUUAUAUAAUUAUUGUUGAGGUAGUUGUGCAGUAGAUAGAGCUAGUACUACGUCAGCAGCAUCAGCAGAUAUCAGCUAAUGCUGCUGACCUAUCUCGAUAAAGCACUAAAGCCGCACGGAACCUGUGGCAGUUUUAAGUUCCUUCAUAUAUUUAUUAUAUUUUUGACAAUUUUAAUAUAUUUUUUGACUAAUGAAAUUAAACUUUAUUGUGUAUGAGUAUCAGCUCAAAGUUGAAUAACAAAAAUGACUGAUUAAUUGUGACUUGCCAACAUUUUGAUUGUAAUAAUGUUAGACAAACAAUUGGAAGUGAUAUAGAGAAGCCAUGUUCUGCGUCAAUGGAGCGUAAUUUUAAAUAUUUCAAUAAAGCACUAGGUUUGUUCGCAGUGUCUUAGACUUUCGAUAUACGCCUUCGAUGGAGUUUUGUAAUUUUGGUAUUCGAUAGCAUUCUAGCUAACGCCUAGCGACGUACUGAGGCUUUUGAUAUUAUGAGGAAUAGCUUUUAUAACGUAACCUUUUGCUUUCUUGAAACAAAAAAAAAAUGCUUAAAAAUGUAACUUUAUGUAUAUUUAGUGAAUCUACUGGGGAACUAAGUGUCCAUAACAUUGUGAUACAGACAUCAUAUUUUCCAUUAAAAAUCAAUUUCGAUUUUUUUUCGUCUGUUAGUUUCAAUAAGAGAGAUUAUUUGUAUAUGAUUUUAGAUUUUUAAAAUGUAAUAUUCUUUUAAUGUGACGAUUUAUAAAGAAAAUUUUAAUUAAUAUAAAUCAUAAUUUAAUUGUAAUGUUAGUUUUAUUUAUGUUGAUAUAUUACGGUUCAGGAGCAUUUUGAUCCAACGAAAUACCUUGACUAGUAGAGUCGCAGUGCUGUAGUUUGUGACAACUGUAAAAAAUAUUAAUAAAGUACAUAAACAAUA